AGAGGCAUUAAUUUGCACCCAGAAUUGGUUAAAGCUGUCUUUUACCUAUUUCAAAGACUUGAACCUCAUGGAAGAUUUUGAGCUUUCUGAAGAUAUUAUAGCAGAAUUUGAAGAAAUUUCUUCUACAGCAAGAAGAGGAUCUUUACCGUCUCAGCCACAACCUUCUGGUUGUGCUUGAAAAAUAUGGAGUUCAACUAUGUUUUUUGAAGUCAUAUGUGACUUAUAUUUUGUGACUACUCAAUGGUCAAAUAAUAUAUAUUUUGUCCUGUGGAUUUUGAAGAUAUUCAAGCUAGCCAAAUUUUGAACAUUUUGAGGCCAUGCAGGAACAAUUUGGAGCUAAGACAUUUUUGAUAUAUGUAGAACCUGUGUUUAGCAAAACAGGAGAAACAAUUGGUGUAAACUAUAUGGGAA